CCUACGGGAGGCAGCAGUGGGGAAUUUUCCGCAAUGGGCGAAAGCCUGACGGAGCAAUACCGCGUGAGGGAAGACUGCCUAUGGGUUGUAAACCUCUUUUUUCAGGGAGGAAUAAAAUGACGUGUACCUGAAGAAUAAGCAUCGGCUAACUCCGUGCCAGCAGCCGCGGUAAGACGGAGGAUGCAAGUGUUAUCCGGAAUCACUGGGCGUAAAGCGUCUGUAGGUGGUUUAAUAAGUCAACUGUUAAAUCUUGAGGCUCAACUUCAAAACCCGCAGUCGAAACUAUUAGACUAGAGUAUAGUAGAGGUAAAGGGAAUUUCCAGUGGAGCGGUGAAAUGCGUAGAUAUUGGAAAGAACACCGAUGGCGAAAGCACUUUACUGGGCUAUUACUAACACUCAGAGACGAAAGCUAGGGUAGCAAAUGGGGAUUAGAUACCCCCAGUAGUCCUAGCCGUAAACUAUGGAUACUAGAUGUUGAACAGAUCGACCUGUGCAGUAUACAAGACUAACGUACGUUAAGUUAUCCCGUCCGUCGGUAGUAGUGUCGUCGCGAGAGUAGAAACGUUAAAGUUAAGUAAGUUAAGUACGGUCGUUGAGUACGUUGCCGAACGGACGACCGACGAGGGAGGUUAGG
rnacentral:rRNA from 1 species